rnacentral:lncRNA from 8 species
AUGCCUGCCGAAACUAUACAUGUGUACAUGUACACACACACCACACAUGUGUACAUGUACACACACACACACACACACACACACAGACACACACACACAGACACACACACACACACAACCUUCCUGGAACCAGAGGAACAUGGUGUGCUCACACCUCGGCACAUGCAGGGGCGAUAUAUAAGAGCAGUCCAACUCCGAAAAGGACAUAGACUCUACAGCACUCGAUACACUGAGGACCAUCUCUGGAAACAUAGACCAGGACAGACCAUCAACAGCUCUUCAAGCCUCCUGCAGUAUUUUACUCUUAGGACACCUCACCUACUCUCCAAUAUAAUGUAUCUUCUGGGACUCUGUACACUGGCACUGCUGGCCUCCACCGUCGCACAGAAUUCUUCAACAAUAGCUUCAUUUACUCCUACAAUCGCUGUUUCUGCUCCUACCAUCGCUGGUUCUGCUCCUACAACCGCUGGUCCUGUUGCUCCUACAACUGCUGGUCCUGUUGCUCCUACAACCGCUGGUCCUGUUGCUCCUACAACCGCUGGUCCUGUUGCUCCUACAACCACUGCUCCUGCAAUAGCAGCAACUGUCCCACCCUCCAAACCAAGUGGCAGCCCAGCAACCGGAGCGUCUCUGUUGUGUUCUGUGGUGAUUCUUCUCCUCUACAGCCUGUGGUACUAAGUGGUGAACCUCCUCUGGCCUGGAGUUUGUAUUGUUCAGGACAAAUAGACUGAGUGGCUAUGAAUGAACCCAGAGCCAAUGAACUAAGCAAAUAUGUAUCUGGAAGAAUGGAUUUUCUGGAACACCAGUCAUUGAUGUUUCAUGUUAGAGGUUAAUCUUUGUAUAUGGACACGUUAUGAGAGAAGCAAAUUCUUCUUAAAUUUGAAUUUGGGUGGGUGGAUUGGAGGGAGGGAGGGAGGGAGGGAGGGAGGGGUUGGGGUUGUACUGUUUUUCUGUUCUCAUACCUGAAAAUCUAUAAAGAAAGUACAACAAAAAACAUUUGUUGUAAACAGUCACCAAUGGGUAAAAACCUUUGGGCAAAGAGAUAUUGGUUGUGUUUUGAACACUGACGGUUUUAGGAUCUUGCUUCCACUGCCCUUUUAGACUUAUUUUUGUCUGUUUGUUUUUUUAAGUUGAAAUGCACUGAUUAGAGGGAAUGAGUUCAUGUUGUAGACAAUAUACUUGAUUGUAAUCCAAUUUCUAUUUUAAUAAAUGCAUGUAUGGAAGUACACUUCAAACAAUAUAAUAAAAUAAUAUAAAGUGUGACUACUUUCAUGUUAAGCAUUAUGAGCAUCAGCAAUAGAACAAGGUUGUAUUUUCUUGUGUUAAUGUGUAAGACUGAGACAUAAAGCAAUUCAGAUGUAGGAUCUUAAUUUGAUCACCAUGUUGCAGGAGAACUUUCCUGCACUGCAGGACAUUUUAAACAUUUUUGUAGUGUAUUUGAGGUUAAAAGGGCUUCUGAAAUGUAUUGCAGGCUAAACAAAACCCUGACAACACAAAACAAACACACCCCUGCCACGCCCUGACCAAAAUAACAAAUAACCCCUUAUACUGGUCAGAACGUGACAGUAUCCCCCCCCCCCCCCCAAAGGUGCAGACCCCGGAUGCACCUGAAACAAAACUAGCAAAACAAUAACCCACAACAACAAAAAGUCCCAAAACUACAGGGGAGGGAAGGGAGGGUGGCCACCGUCACCGACGGUUCUUCUGCAACACACCCCCCCAAUACUCCCCCCUACGGAGGUGGCUCAGGAGCGGGACGCAGACCCCGCUCCACCACUGGCUCACCCCACUUCAGUGUUGCCUCUAGAGCGAGGUCCCUCUCCGUCGACCCCGGACUGGGGACCCUCGCAACGGGCGACUCUGGCUGCGUCGGACUGGAGGGCGACUCUCUCGGUUCCGGACUGUGGGCCGUCUCUCUCGGUUCCGGACUGUGGGCCGUCUCUCUCUGUUCCGGACUGUGGGCCGUCUCUCUCGGUUCCCGGACUGUGGGCCGUCUCUCUCGGUUCCACACUGUGGGCCGUCUCUCUACGGGGCACUGUCGCUGGAAACACUGGACGAGGCACUGUUGCCGGACAUUCUGGACGAGGCACUGUUGCCGGACACUCUGGACGAAGCACUGUUGCCGGACACUCUGGACGAGGCACUGUUGCCGGAAGCUCUGGACGGGGACUGCGCACUGAAGACCGCGCACUGAGGACCUGACGCGUGGAGCUGGCUUAGGAAGUGCCAGACUAGGGACACGCACCACAGGGUUAGUGCGAGGAGCAGGACGAGCUGGACUGGGCUGACGCACUGAAGGCCUGGUGCGUGGGGCUGGUACUGGAGGUACCAGACUGGAGACAUGCACCCCAAGGCUAGUGCGAGGAGCGGAACAGGACGUACUAGACUGGGCUGACGCACUGGAGGCCUGGUGCGUGGUGCUGGGUUUAGAGGCACAGACUAGAGACACGCACCUCAGGGCUAGUGCGGGGAGCGGGAACAGGAUACACUGGGCCGUGGAGGCGCACUGGUGGUCUCGAGCGCAGGACUGGCACCACUCGUACUGACUGGGUGCCCGCUUCCCCCCGGCAAAUGCGGGACGCUGGCACCGAGCACACCAGCCUGUGGAUGCUUGGCCUCGACGCUGUGCGCAUCACCCCAUAGCACGGGGCCUGACCAGUACCACGCUGCCUCUGGUAAGCACGGGGAGUUGGCUUAGGGCUCAACCCUGGCCAGCCAAACUACCCGUGUGCCCCCCCCAAAAAAUGUUUGGGGGCUGCCUCUCAGGCUUCCAUGCCAACCGUGUUCCAGCAAAACACUCCCGGUCCUCUCCAGCCUUCCUCCAUGGUCCCUCUCCGCCUAGGAUCUCCUCCCAGGUCCACGACUCCCGAUAGCUCCUCUCCAGCUCGUUACCCCGCUGCUUGGUCCGUUGGUGGUGGGAAGUUCUGUAAUGGGCGUUGUAAGGAUUCGACCAAGGCGCAGCGGGUUGAGUGCUCAUUUGAACUUUUAUUGAACACUUAACAACAAAACAACAAAACUAAUGAACACACAGUAUUGCAGGCUAAACACAGCUAGCAAGGCAAAACCAACUUCCCACAAAAGACAGGUGAAAAAAGGGCUACCUAAGUAUGACUCCCAAUCAGCAACAACGAUAUACAGCUGUUCCUGAUUGAGAGCCAUACCAGGCCAAUAAAGAAAUACACAACAUAGACAAUCCAUAGAAAUACAAAACAUAGAACAAUACCCCAAAACCCAGACAACACAAAACAAACACACCCCUGCCACUCCCUGACCAAACUACAAUAACAAAUAACCCCUUAUACUGGUCAGGACGUGACAUGAAAUUUGUAAUUUCGACUUUUACAUUUCAGAUGUGAUUUUCCCUUUUUAACAUUUCCUGUUGCUGCAGGAUUAUUUUCCUGCUGUAGCAAACGGGUUCAAAUUAAGAUCCUACAUCUGUGUAUGUGUAGGCUGAGCUAAUGUGAAAUUGUACACAAAACUCAACCCUUCAGUCUUCGUAUUGACAGAUAGCCAGCAACGCGUUGUAGAUGGUCUCCUUUGAAUUUGUUCUGUUGAUAAACAUUGGCCAUUUUUCCAAAAAUGAAAUUAGUUUUGAAAGACUUUUAGUUAUAAUGCUUGGUUGAGGUAGAUAGUUUCAUUGACAUGUAUUUCUACUGUAUUUGUUACAGGAAAUAAAUGCAUGGCUUUUUUUCAUUCCUCC